AUUCUGAAUUUCUAAAUAAAAAUUGUAGGCUUUUGUGAGAGGGAAUAUAUAAAUAUAACACAUGCAUAAUAAAAAUGCAUAAAGUAGAUCCUAAAACUGUUAUCUCUUGCCUUGUUACACCAGGUAGUGUUAAAUGAGGAGAGGGACAGAGGAGCAAGGUGAUUUAGAGCUGGCAGGACAGCAGCUGGGAAAAAGGAGAAAAUGGAAAAUUGUUUUUUACAUAGAAAAUUUAGAAAAGGCUCUCAUGUUGCUUGGUUUUGCACAGGCUAGCAGAGAAUUUAGAAGAGUGAAAGAUUAAAAAUCUCAAGCCCAGUGUAGACAGAAAUUGCAGUAUUUUUACCGAGGUUUAAUUUGCUUGUUUGAAUUGUGCUGCAGGCGCAUGGAAAACUUUCCUUUUGAAGGAAAAGACUGGAGGACAAACAGUGAUGGAAAAACAUGUGAUUUAUGUUAAUUUUAACAUUUUAGUAGAUGUUACUUGAAUUAAUACUUUGUUUCUCUGCAAGGGAAAAGGGGAUUGUUAGGAGGACAACAGAUUAUUACAGUCCUUGCCAGAAAUACAUUCUGAAUGGAUGAAGUGACAGCUUGUGCACCAGAGGAGUUGCCCUGGGAUGGUGGCCCAGAACAACUGUUAAUAUGCAACACAAUACAACUGCGUGAGUGUUGGAAAUGGUUAACCAGCAUGAAAGCGUCUGCAGCUGUAAAUGGCUCUGGCCAGCUGAGGGCAGGGACUGGCUGCUGGUUGUGCUUGGCAGCAGUGCAUGGGGACUGCUAGCCUCCACAAAGAUUGUUAGAAGCCUUGAACUGAACAAACACAUUGAAAGAGAAACCCUACUAACGCAUUCUGAAACACGCUCCUCAUGCCCAGUGGGGUUUACCCCUACUUGUUCUGAAGCCUUCUCAGGAAGAAGUGUGCCUCAUGUACGGUCCAGGUGUGCCUCAUGUACGGUCCAGCUGGGGCAGCACACCCUGAUGAGUGGCACCUGUGCCAGGAGCUGGGGCAGGGCUGCUCUAGACAAAGAAGGGACAGCAGUGGUGGCCAUGUCUGUGACUCUGCAUUUGUUCCUGCCUCGGCAUCAGAAAGGUGACAGACCCUGAAAGGAGCAGGCCUUGGUACGUUGCUGGGGGAGUCUGUCUCACAUGCAGCAGAACUCCUCUGAACCUUGACUGAAAAGCAGGUGGGUUAGCAAAGUAUACUGAAACAAACAUGAAAAAGGAAGUUCAGCCUCAGAAAGGUUAAAAACAGGAAUGUUUGUAGAGGACCUUCACAGCCCAGGCAAAUACUUGACCCAGUGAAAUCACCUGGAAUUGCUUCACUGCAUAAGCUACUUUAGUAAUCAUCUCUUGUGGCCUGAUCAGAAAUCCAGUGGAGCUGCAGUGGGAGUCAUUUCAUUGACUUCAAUAAGCUCUGGAUCAGACCCAUGGGGAAUGAAGAAUGACUUUCUCCUAAUCUCUGAAAUUCUUCUUCUCUCUCGUUCCAAAGCAGUUACAAAACUGGUGAAAUGGAAGGAAUAGUUUCUCUUGGUCUCGUGCUCUUCAUCAAUCUUCGGGUUUAUUUUAGGCUAUAAAUUGCCCUAAUCAUGGAUGCUUUCUUGUUUUUGACUUACAGUGUUUAGCUGCAGAAGGCCAAAAUGCAUGUUUACUGCCCUUCUGCAGCUGCUGUUGUACUGAGAUUGUUUAUCUGCACAGUGCCUGUCUGCUGUGGCUUCUUAGGUAUUUCACAAUCAGAGAAGCUCAAAACUCUUUAGUAGGGUUUUCAGAUUGAUAAGAGAACCAAACCACAGUGUUCUGGGAAGAAAUCUAUCACAUUGAAAAAGGUCAUUUAUUUGCUGCUUUUGUAAAAGCAUUGCUGAGGGCCGGCAUCAUAAUAGCAAUUUUCUGUGGCUGUGUUGUCUUGCGGCACUGCAUGUCCCACUUCAUUGUUGGCAGAGCACAAAUGUGUGCAGCAAAUGGUUUGCUUAAGGGUGAGUCCACAAUACUAGUAAGAUGAUACACGCAGUGUUUUUAUGUAGUUGAACUGUAUAUCCAUAAACAUUAUGCCAUCGAUACUGUGUCAUUCUACAGUCAAAGGAGUUUUAGGUAUGUAUCACUACAACUGUCUGGCAUUGCGAUGUUUCCAAACAAGUGCUGAGCUCUUUAGCAGGCUUCCCAAGAUGCGGUACUGUACCACUGCUAUGUAAGAUCCUGAGACUUCACAUGCUGUGCGUUGUGGCAUCCAGCUGAAAGAUGAUGGAAUUUUGAGGCUUGGAGUGAAAUUUAAAUUCCCAUGG